GGCACAGUGAUUUAGUGGUUAGCAUGUUUGCCUCGCACCUCCAGGGUUGGGGGCUCGAUUUCCACCUCUGCCC